AAUGUUGGAUAUAAGAGAUUCGUGGAAUAAAAGAUUUAUUUACUUUGCUAUGAUAUAAAUUUUAUUUUCUAUUAUAUAUAUAUAUUUAUGUUUAGAAUUAUUUAUGUAACAAUAUUCUUUAUGUUUACUUUAAUAUAGGACUACUGAAGGUUAUUAUCAAUCUUAGAGAGCACUUUAAGAUACUGGUGAUGGCGGGAACUCAUCUUCUUCAAUUGCAGGAGUACUUGGUCAGCAGUUUUUUUUGUUUCUUCAGUGAUUCUAAUAAGGUUGCAUUUUCUGAUUUGGUAAUAAGGAUUGGUGCUGGUCUAUUAUAUUAUAGUUUGGUACUAUGAGCUGUUGUGCUUUAUGAGAUAUCAUUUUCUUCUUGUCUUUUACAUUAUAUCAAGGGUUUUGGUAUGUUUGUCUUGUUUCUCGCGUCGCUAAGAAAAGGAAGGAUGUUCUGACCAUUCUUUAAAAUUGUGCUGUAAGUGAUGAAAA